UACAGAGGGGGCAAGCGUUAUUCGGAAUUACUGGGCGUAAAGCGCGCGUAGGCGGCUUUGUAAGUUAGAGGUGAAAGCCCGGAGCUCAACUCCGGAACUGCCUUUAAGACUGCAUCGCUUGAAUCCAGGAGAGGUGAGUGGAAUUCCGAGUGUAGAGGUGAAAUUCGUAGAUAUUCGGAAGAACACCAGUGGCGAAGGCGGCUCACUGGACUGGUAUUGACGCUGAGGUGCGAAAGCGUGGGGAGCAAACAGG
rnacentral:rRNA from 1 species